rnacentral:tRNA from 1 species
AAUUAAAUAAGUUAAUUUAAACUAAUGACCUUCAAAGUCAUAAAUAGGUAAAUCUACCUUUUAAUUA